GACGGAGGAUGCAAGUGUUAUCCGGAAUCACUGGGCGUAAAGCGUCUGUAGGUGGUCAAAUAAGUCAACUGUUAAAUCUUGAGGCUUAACCUCAAAAUCGCAGUCGAAACUAUUAGACUAGAGUAUAGUAGGGGUAAAGGGAAUUUCCAGUGGAGCGGUGAAAUGCGUAGAGAUUGGAAAGAACACCGAUUGCGAAGGCACUUUACUGGGCUAUUACUAACACUCAGAGACGAAAGCUAGGGUAGCAAAUGGG
rnacentral:rRNA from 1 species